UAUUGGUCAAUGGGCGCAAGCCUGAACCAGCCAAGUCGCGUGAGGGAUGACGGUCUUAUGGAUUGUAAACCUCUUUUGUCGGGGAGCAGAGCGCGGUACGAGUACCGCGAAGGAGAGUACCCGAAGAAAAAGCAUCGGCUAACUCCGUGCCAGCAGCCGCGGUAAUACGGAGGAUGCGAGCUUUAUGCGGAUUUAUUGGGUUUAAAGGGUGCGUAGGCGGAUUUGUAAGUCAGCGGUAAAAAUGCGGUGCUCAACGCCGUAUCGCAGGUGAAACUGCAGGUCUUGAGUGAGCGAGAAGUAUGCGGAAUGCGUGGUGUAGCGGUGAAAUGCAUAGAUAUCACGCAGAACUCCGAUUGCGAAGGCAGCAUACCGGCGCUCAACUGACGCUGAGGCACGAAAGCGUGGGGAUCGAACAG
rnacentral:rRNA from 1 species